CUUCUUACCUGGCGGGGGACAGACCGUGGUCAAGAAGGGAGUUCUCCCUGGAUGAGACUAGUCCAUCGCACUCCGGCUGCUCUGACCCCUGCGAUUUCCCCACACGCGGGGCCCUUGUCUGCGGU
rnacentral:snRNA from 1 species